rnacentral:rRNA from 1 species
AACGAACGCUGGCGGCGUGCUUAACACAUGCAAGUCGAGCGGUAAGGCCCUUUCGGGGGUAUACGAGCGGCGAACGGGUGAGUAACACGUGAGCAACCUGCCCUUCUCUUUGGAAUAAGCGUUGGAAACGACGUCUAAUGCCGAAUAUGACCCCCUGUCGCAUGGUGGGGGGUGGAAAGCUCUGGCGGAGAAGGAUGGGCUCGCGGCCUAUCAGCUUGUCGGUGGGGGUAAUGGCCCACCAAGGCGACGACGGGUAGCCGGCCUGAGAGGGUGACCGGCCACACUGGGACUGAGACACGGCCCAGACUCCUACGGGAGGCAGCAGUGGGGAAUAUUGGACAAUGGGCGAAAGCCUGAUCCAGCAACGCCGCGUGAGGGAUGACGGCCUUCGGGUUGUAAACCUCUUUCAGCAGGGACGAAGCGAGAGUGACGGUACCUGCAGAAGAAGGACCGGCCAACUACGUGCCAGCCGCCGCCGUAAGAC